UACGUAGGGUGCAAGCGUUAAUCGGAAUUACUGGGCGUAAAGCGUGCGCAGGCGGUUUUGUAAGUCUGUCGUGAAAUCCCCGGGCUCAACCUGGGAAUUGCGAUGGAGACUGCAAGGCUAGAAUCUGGCAGAGGGGGGUAGAAUUCCCGGUGUAGCAGUGAAAUGCGUAGAGAUCGGGAGGAACAUCAGUUGCGGAAGGCGGCUCUCUGGACCAGCACUGACACUGAGGCACGAAAGCGUGGGGAGCAAACAGG
rnacentral:rRNA from 1 species